UACGUAGGUGGCAAGCGUUGUCCGGAUUUACUGGGCGUAAAGAGCGCGCAGGCGGUCGUUCAAGUCGCGUGUGAAAGCCCCCGGCUCAACUGGGGAGGGUCACGCGAUACUGAUCGACUCGAAGGCAGGAGAGGGUAGUGGAAUUCCCGGUGUAGUGGUGAAAUGCGUAGAUAUCGGGAGGAACACCAGUGGCGAAGGUGACUACCUGGCCUGUUUCUUGACGCUGAGGCGCGAAAGCUAGGGGAGCAAACGGG
rnacentral:rRNA from 1 species